AUUGAACGCUGGCGGCAUGCUUUACACAUGCAAGUCGAACGGUAACAGGCCGCAAGGUGCUGACGAGUGGCGAACGGGUGAGUAAUGCAUCGGAACGUGCCCAGUCGUGGGGGAUAACUACUCGAAAGAGUAGCUAAUACCGCAUACGAUCUAUGGAUGAAAGCGGGGGACCGGAAGGCCUCGCGCGAUUGGAGCGGCCGAUGUCAGAUUAGGUAGUUGGUGGGGUAAAGGCUCACCAAGCCAACGAUCUGUAGCUGGUCUGAGAGGACGACCAGCCACACUGGGACUGAGACACGGCCCAGACUCCUACGGGAGGCAGCAGUGGGGAAUUUUGGACAAUGGGCGCAAGCCUGAUCCAGCAAUGCCACGUGCAGGAAGAAGGCCUUCGGGUUGUAAACUGCUUUUGUACGGAACGAAACGGCUCUGGUUAAUACCCGGGGCUAAUGACGGUACCGUAAGAAUAAGCACCGGCUAACUACGUG
rnacentral:rRNA from 1 species